rnacentral:tRNA from 1 species
GGGGCUGUAGGGUAGCUUGGUCCAUCCUCCCAGCCAUUGAUGCUGGCGACCCGAGUUCAAAUCUCGGCAGCCCCA